UGGUGAUUCACUGAAAGACCCAUUCUAUGAGCCAAUGCCUGUUCAAACUAUUUAUAUUUUGAAGAAAAUGUGGUAUUUGAGUUACUGCUCUGGUCAUUUUAUUCAGUAAUUGAAAGAAAGCCUGCAUUUUUGAGUGGAGAACAGAGGCAAGGGGAUUUUGCAGCUUUUCAGGCACUCACUACCAGCAGACACAGUGGGGAUCCAGCCUUGGAAUCUAUCAUGACCUAUGGGAAGAGGUUAAUCUAGAACCAGCUCAAAAAGCGGAAAUGUGGUAUGCACCAUAUGCCUAGCAAUUGCUCCAGUGCUAUAAGGUCUAAGAAACAACAUUCUCCUGGCAUGUCAUAUAUACAUAUGAAGAACUACGAGAGGGCAGUUCUCUUAGCCAAGAAUUGGGAAGAACACUUAUGCCAGCCACAUUUGCAUGUGCUACUUCAAACUGUCCGCUUAUAAGGCUGCCAGUUUUGACUGGGGACCAAUAGAAGAGCAUACUCGGUAAUGAGAUGCAACCAGAUGAAGACCUGUGGAACAGAUGGAGGGCACACCCUGGGAUGGAACCUUACAGAGACAGAUCUGCCAUCAAAUCUCUGCAAAUCACAUUUUACAACUUCAUGGGUUGGCCCAAAGUCUUAUUUCCAAGGAGAGAAAUGCUUUCACCAGGAGAUUCAACAAUGAUUUCACUGAACUGGACAUUAAGGCUGCUGCCCAGGUGCUUUGAAGUCCUCAUGCCUCUGAAUCAACAGGGAGAAAAGGCAGUUACUCUGCUGGCUGGAGUGAGUGAUGCUGACUACCAAGGGAAAACUGGAUGACUACUCCACAGUAAGGAAGAAUACAGCAGAUCCCUUACACCAUCUCUUAGUAUUACUGUGUCCUGUGAUUAAGGUCAGUGGAAAAUUAAAACAACCCAUUCCAGUCAGGACUAAUUGUCCAGACUCUUCAGGAAUGAAAGUUUGUGUCACUUCACUGAGCAGAAAAUACAACCAGCUAAGGUGCUUGCUGAAGAUAAAGGGAACACAAAAUGGGAGGUGCAAAAAAAGUAGUUAUAAAUACCAGCUAUGACAGCAUGACCAGCUACAGAAAUGAAGACUGUAAUUGUCCUAAGUAUUCCUUCUUAUUUUGUGGUGUGUGUGUAUGUUAAGCAAAUUGCUUUGUUUUCUUCCCUCUCUUGUUUCCCUGUUGUGGAACGUAAGAAGCACUGACUCAUAGUAUUUAAAAAUUGCUAAUUUUACAUUAUGGUAUUUGAGUUAUGGAAUAUCAAGGACAAGAGUAAAUAUCCUUCAAGAAUUUUACUCCUCUUCAGAAGAAGAAGUUUGUUUUUAUGUGUACAUGGGAUAGCUGUAUUAUGUAGGUGCAAUUGUGCCCUUGUUAUUCCUUCUAUGAAAAGAUUAAAUAUGGUUUGAGGAGAGGCAUGGUUACCAGGUUGACAAAGAUUGAACUUACAAUGGUUAAUUUUAUGUAUAAACUUAUUAUACAUAAAGUCUUGGGUUACUCAGGUAUUUGGUUACACAUUAUGCUGGAUGUGUCUGUGAGAGUAUUUUUGAAUAAGAUUAACAUUUGAAUUGGUAGACUAAGAAAAGCAGAUGCUUUCCCCAGUGAGUGGGCCUCAUCCAAUCUGUUGAAGACCUAGAUAACAAAAAAAAAAAAAAAUGGCUGAAUGAGAGACAACUCUCUUUCUGCCUGACUGUGUUGAAGAUAGGACAUUGGUCUCCUCCUAACUUUGGACUCAGAAUCAGAGUUUGCAUAUUUAGCUUUCUUGGUUCCUAAGCCUUUGGACUGUAACUGAAACUAGACUAUUGGCACUCCUGGUCUUUAGUUUACUGAGCGCAGAUCUUGGGGCAUCUCAUCAUCCAUAGUUUCAUGAGUCAAUUCCUUAUAAUAAAUAUAUAAUAACAUAUUAUUUAUAAGUGUUUUACAUUACAUUUUGUUGGUUUUGUUUCUCUGGAGAACCUAAACUGGGUCUCCACUCACUAAAUUCUAUCAUUACAGGAACAUGGACAUAAUGUUUCUGCUUUUCAGAUUGAAGUUAAUCUAUGGAUCAGCCUUUCUGUAACACUUAAACACCUCAUUUUAAACAUUUGCAAAGGUAUUUUAAAUUCUGCUUACACCCUUGACCUAUGAACUAAAAUUUG
rnacentral:lncRNA from 10 species